GGAUGUGAGGGCGAUCUGGCUGCCACAUCCAUCACCCCAUUGCCAGGGUUGAUUCCGCUGAUCUGGCUGGCUAGGCGGGUGUUGGUCUGCUUCUAAGACCCCUUC
rnacentral:snRNA from 1 species